GAGAUGCAGUCUGAAUGUUCACGGUGGCUUCUGACGUGGCAGCAUGAAUUCUCAGCUGGGCAGUGCUGAGGAUUGAACCCAUGGCCUUGUGCAUGUCAGGGCUCCAGUGCAGAUUUAGAUCCACCUUCUGGAUGCUAUGGUCCCUGAGACAAGGCAACAGGCUCUUGCUAUCAAAUGCAUGUCCCUGAGAAGGUGCUGGGAACAUUACAUCUUCAUGUCCCAGGGACAAGAAAAUUAAAUAUACUCGUUGUUCAGUAGCUACUGAGACUGAUGGGAGGCAGAGCUGUGGAUUCAUGCGACCAAUGGUGACUGGUCUGGCUGGCCAUAUUACUUUCUCUUUAUUUUAUCAAGUACAGACAUGGCGCCUGCCUAGAGUGGUCAUACGAGUGUCCAAUCUCAAGGGAACAAUCAGGGGCUGGCUUGCAAGGCCACCUGUUCCCAUUUUUUAUUGCUCUUGUUGCAUGUGUAUAUGUGACAUAUGUGCAUGUAUGUUCAUGUGUUCGUGGGUACA
rnacentral:lncRNA from 1 species